rnacentral:rRNA from 1 species
GACGAACGCUGGCGGCGUGCUUAACACAUGCAAGUCGAACGGAAAGGCCCUGCUUUUGUGGGGUGCUCGAGUGGCGAACGGGUGAGUAGCACGUGAGUAACCUGCCCUUGACUUUGGGAUAACUUCAGGAAACUGGGGCUAAUACCGGAUAGGAGCUCCUGCUGCAUGGUGGGGGUUGGAAAGUUUCGGCGGUUGGGGAUGGACUCGCGGCUUAUCAGCUUGUUGGUGGGGUAGUGGCUUACCAAGGCUUUGACGGGUAGCCGGCCUGAGAGGGUGACCGGCCACAUUGGGACUGAGAUACGGCCCAGACUCCUACGGGAGGCAGCAGUGGGGGAUAUUGCACAAUGGGCGGAAGCCUGAUGCAGCAACGCCGCGUGCGGGAUGACGGCCUUCGGGUUGUAAACCGCUUUCGCCUGUGACGAAGCGUGAGUGACGGUAAUGGGUAAAGAAGCACCGGCUAACUACGUG